rnacentral:rRNA from 1 species
UACGAAGGGGGCUAGCGUUGCUCGGAAUCACUGGGCGUAAAGGGUGCGUAGGCGGGUCUUUAAGUCAGGGGUGAAAUCCUGGAGCUCAACUCCAGAACUGCCUUUGAUACUGAGGAUCUUGAGUUCGGGAGAGGUGAGUAGAACUGCGAGUGUAGAGGUGAAAUUCGUAGAUAUUCGCAAGAACACCAGUGGCGAAGGCGGCUCACUGGCCCGAUACUGACGCUGAUGCACGAAAGCGUGGGGAGCAAACAGG